UCUGACCCUAGAGGGGUUGCAGGUGUGGUUGCUGUACCACAUGUGUAUCAGUAGAUGUCAGAGAGGAGAGAGGAAUGUCUGUGCUGUGUUCUGACCUGUGAACAUCUGAAUGAUUAGUAGCUAACACU